GCAUGAUUUCCCCUUGGUGAAUCCACGUUGACUACUCCUGAUAAUCUUCUUCUCUUCCAAUUGCUCAGAGAAGGUAUCCAGAACAAGUUAUUCCAUCACCUUUCCAGGGACAGAGCAAAGACUGUGAAAAGACUGUGAAUAAAUAUUUACGGAAUGGUGUUGAGAUGUAUGCUCUCCAGUUCACAAAAACAAGAAAUUCAUUCUUGUUCAACCUCGUGUCUAAGCCUCCCACUGCACAUUGAUUCAUUUUCCCUUGAGUUAAGAAAACAGAAGAAUUCUCCCACCAGCAAAAACAAACAAAAAAUCUGAAGAUAAAUCCUAUUUCUUUGGAACUUCAAGUCUACAGAGAAGGAGCACUGUGGAUUAAAGGAGAGUGGGAGAACUAUGACUGGCUCCUUCUUCUCCAGGAUUUAUGGAGGAUUGUAAGCAUGGACACACCAUAAAUUAAACAAGAUUGCUGCAUUCAAAAAACACAUUCUUGAAGGACAGAUUUGGCUCUAUCAUACCUAGUAAUGACCCCACUAACGCACUCCACUGGCAGGGGCCAGCAACCAAGGACGCCUUAUCUCUGUUGCUGAGGAAUUCAGCCUUGGACACAGAGCUGAUGUGCAUCAGCAGGAGUCAGCCCACGGUGACAGACAAGGACUGGGAAUCAAGACAGAAGGGAACAACUGUGAUCUUUGAUGUCACCAGUGCAUAAAUCCCUCACAUCUCUAUCUUGAGUAAACUAGCUGAGAUGUGAACUCAAGUCUUUUAGUAAUAAAUUAUGGGAAAAAAAUAAUCAUA